rnacentral:rRNA from 1 species
UAAGGAAUAUUGGGCAAUGGAGGCAACUCUGACCCAGCCAUCCCGCGUGAAGGAUUAAGGCCCUAUGGGUUGUAAACUUCUUUUGUUUGGGAAGAAAUCUAGACAUUUAUGUGUAGUUGACGGUACCUUACGAAUAAGCACCGGCUAACUCCGUGCCAGCAGCCGCGGUAAUACGGAGGGUGCAAGCGUUAUCCGGAAUCACUGGGUUUAAAGGGUGCGUAGGCGGUUUGAUAAGUCAGAGGUGAAAGCUAGCAGCUUAACUGUUAAAUUGCCUUUGAUACUGUCAGACUUGAAUCAAGUUGAGGUAGGCGGAAUGUGACAUGUAGCGGUGAAAUGCAUAGAUAUGUCAUAGAACACCAAUUGCGUAGGCAGCUUGCUGGGCUUGAAUUGACGCUGAGGCACGAAAGCGUGGGGAUCAAACAGGAUUAGAUACCCUGGUAGUCCACGCCCUAAACGAUGUUAACUCGAUAUUUAUUCUACGGAGUGAGUGUCCAAGCGAAAGCGUUAAGUUAACCACCUGGGGAGUACGUUCGCAAGAAUG